rnacentral:rRNA from 1 species
GACGAACGCUGGCGGCGUGCCUAAUACAUGCAAGUCGAACGCAGUGGGGACGGGUGAGUAACACGUGGGUAACCUCCCAUCAGAGGGGAUAAACCUUGGAAACAGGUGCUAAACCGAUACUGAUGGAUGAACCCGCGGUGCAUUAGCUAGUUGGUGAGGUAACGGCUCACCAAGGCCACGAUGCAUAGCCGACCUGAGAGGAUGAUCGGCCACACUGGGACUGAGACACGGCCCAGACUCCUACGGGAGGCAGCAGUAGGGAAUAUUCGGCAAUGGACGAAAGUCUGACCGAGCAACGCCGCGUGAGUGAAGAAGGUUUUCGGAUCGUAAAACACUGUUGUUAGAGAAGCGGUAUCUAACCAGGAAGCCACGGCUAACUACGUGCCAGCAGCCGCGGUAAUAC